UUGAACGCUGGCGGCAGGCCUAACACAUGCAAGUCGAGCGGAUGAAGGGAGCUUGCUCCUGGAUUCAGCGGCGGACGGGUGAGUAAUGCCUAGGAAUCUGCCUGGUAGUGGGGGAUAACGUCCGGAAACGGGCGCUAAUACCGCAUACGUCCUGAGGGAGAAAGUGGGGGAUCUUCGGACCUCACGCUAUCAGAUGAGCCUAGGUCGGAUUAGCUAGUUGGUGGGGUAAAGUCCUACCAAGGCGACGAUCCGUAACUGGUCUGAGAGGAUGAUCAGUCACACUGGAACGGAGACACGGUCCAGACUCCUACGGGAGGCAGCAGUGGGGAAUAUUGGACAAUGGGCGAAAGCCUGAUCCAGCCAUGCCGCGUGUGUGAAGAAGGUCUUCGGAGUGUAAAGCACUUUAAGUGGGGAGGAAGGGCAGUAAGUUAAUACCUUGCUGUUUUGACGUUACCAACAGAAUAAGCACCGGCUAACUUCGUG
rnacentral:rRNA from 1 species